rnacentral:rRNA from 1 species
GGAAUAUUGGGCAAUGGGCGAAAGCCUGACCCAGCAACGCCGCGUGAGGGAAGAAGGUUUUCGGAUUGUAAACCUCUGUCCUUGGUGACGAAGGAAGUGACGGUAGCCAAGGAGGAAGCCCCGGCUAACUACGUGCCAGCAGCCGCGGUAAUACGUAGGGGGCGAGCGUUGUCCGGAAUGACUGGGCGUAAAGGGCGCGUAGGCGGCCAAGUAAGUUAGGAGUGAAAUUCCAGUUUUCAAGGUUGGAACUGCUUUUAAUACUGUUUGGCUUGAGUGCAGAAGAGGUAAGCGGAAUUCCCAGUGUAGCGGUGAAAUGCGUAGAGAUUGGGAAGAACACCAGGGGCGAAGGCGGCUUACUGGGCUGUAAGUGACGCUGAGGCGCGAAAGCGUGGGGAGCGAACA